GGGGGAUCUUUGUGCGUGCGUGCGUGCGUGUGCGAGCACUCUUACCUGGAUUGCCGUCCAUUGUAAUGAGCUGUAAAUAAUACAAACGGGAGAGAACUGGUAGUUAUUUUUUUGUGCGCGCGCGUAUUGUGCGUGAAAUUAGGAGGUCAUUGUGAUGCAAUUCAUUGUGAUUCGUGAUUGCAAUUCGGUUAUAUUGUGAAGCUCUCGAUGCAAAGAGGUGGUGAUGAAUAUGGUUUGAGUCUAAACCGCCUGUGCUUUUGUGUUUGGUGGGGGGUGGGCGCUCUGCUGUGAGUUGUGAUGACCGGCAAUGCCAGACGUACGCGCGAUGGCCGGGAGGUUGGGGAGUUGAGCCGUCCAUCGGAACGAGCGGUGACGAUUCCGGCGAUCCCUGGUUCUCGCGCCAUCGGGGACAUUCGAAGAAGUGGAGAGUCGGAACGGUGGCUGCUAACCGUGCCGGUGACACCGAGCCCGCAACGUUGAGACCCUGAGUUCUAUUCUGGGUCUCGAACGCCCGACCAAAAAAGUGAUUAAACCGCGGUUCUCCGUUGCAGUCAGUUGACGGUUUCGCCCCAGUUGCCGGUGACUGCACUGGCUGUGUUGAUGCAACAUGCCGCACAGCGUUCGCGCGCUCGUUUAACGUGGUGGACGCCUUUCCCGAAAAGUGCCGCAUUCAGUAAAAAAAUAAACGCGUGAAGCGAAAAAAAUUACCCCCUAAA